rnacentral:snRNA from 1 species
AACACUUCUAAACUAUUCA